GGUCGGCCACGCGGCACCACCAGCGUUUCGCCCAUCUUCGCGCGAAGGGAUGGAAGACCCACGACUUCGGCAGUGUACGUGAACUCCUUCGUGAUCAGGUCACCCGACACGGAGAACGAAUUGCCCNNNNNNNNGUGCUGCGGACGCAGGGUUGUACCGGCAGCAGGGCGCGGGAUGUACAGCCGCUGGUAUUCGCCAGGAUAGAAGUCCUGGGUCGAUUCACGCUGAUACGG
rnacentral:misc_RNA from 1 species